rnacentral:lncRNA from 1 species
AACCCUGCAAACUGAGUGAACAAACCAAACGAAGUCGGAAGCAUUCUGCUUGCUUUCAGAGACAUUAGUUUGGCAAGGUUAAAUCCAAAUGGCAUGAAAGCACUGAUGGCAGGUACCAAAGAACACGCACAGAACCCCCAAACCCUCAUCUGAGGUCAUACAGGAACGUGCAUGGAUGGAAAUGGGCAGCCACGUGGGAAGAAAUGCUGUGUAUGGAUACUAGAAUGAUGCUGGAUUUGUAUGUCCCUGUUUACUAUGACUAAUACGACGUAAUUGCAAGGGAUGAAGAAGAUACAGACAGCAUCUGAAUGGAGAAAAUUUUUCUUCUUCUAUUCCUUAUAUUCUCAUCUCCAACAAAGAACGUUCAGCAGAAGAGACCAGAAGACAGAAGGUGAUAAAAAAGGACAAGACAGCAACAGUGAAAAUGAGAUGGAUGUUGAAAAUAUAAGAAUAUGCCUAGAAAUAAAUCAGCAAGAGGAAGCAAAGCAUACAAAUGGGAUAAUAUAGUACAUCACCAACACACAGAGAGGAGACUAGACUAUAAAAACACACUAGAGUUCAGUGUAAAGCAGAUAUGGACUUCUCAGUGAAGUUCACGCCACUCCUGUUUUAGCCUGGGAAAAUUUUAUUUCAGCUGAAAUAAUAAUAAUACAGCAGUCUUUGGAAUAAAUAUAUCAGAUCAUACUGAAUGACCUCUAUUUCCCUGAGGAGGAUACCCUUGGGCAAGAACACAAUGCUAUAACUGUGAAAAUGUUUACUUCAUCUCUUCAUGAUUUUGUUGACUGUCCAAAAGAUAUUAUGCAGUCCACUGCACCUGCCAAUGUAGCCCUAGGGAUGUCAAGGUGGACUGUCAGAGGCCCUGCUCUGCACAGCUUCAUACAACAAUGAAACAAGCCUUAACUUCCUCAAAAUGCUAUGGUAUUAGGUGGUGUGGAUCAAGACGAUUUCCCACAGGACUGUGAAAACUGCCAUCAUUCCUGUAAUCUGUUUGAAGAACUUUUAACAGUUCUAGUGACAACACUGACAAGUAAAUGCUUUCCCAGAUUUUUAAUCCUUGAAAUUUCGAUUGACAGAAAAAUAAUUAAAGUUUCCUCACUAAUGCAAGGGAAAACAAGCAAUUCAUUCUUACGUGACUGGCUUCCUUUUCACAGUUUUUUGAUGGUUAUUAUUAUUAUUAUUAUUAUUAUUUCUACUGCAGUGCUAUCUAGAAGCACAGAUACAUUCAAGACCAUGUUUUUCAAGCAUCUGCACAAUCUCAGAGUGAGGAAUUGUCUUUUGCUCUAGAGAGUUAAUUGAGUAAAGGCUUAUCUUUUCCUCCAUUGUAAUGCUUUAAUUUAAAUGGAUUUAGGUUCUGUGUCUGGACUUUGUCAUACUGCUAUAAAACUGAGUUAUUGUGAUUUAGCUUAUGCCUGAAAAAUUGUUUCUGAGAAUUGCACUGUUAUAUUGUUACAGCUUUCUGUGUAAAAAAAGGCCUGAAUAAGGCAGGGUGGGGAAGGGGAGAAGAGUGAGGCAGGAGAGGCUGCCUGAUUUGCCAGAGAUCACUUUUGUGCUAUUUAGUCCAGCAGGAAAGCGUGGGCUGGGACACAUGAGCACGUGGGAAAGCUGGGCAGUCCUGCGGCUGUUGGUGCCAGGGUCCAGCACCUCACAUUGCUCUUGGACAUCUGCUGCAACAGGAUCAAAGGAGCGUGAAACCCCGAGAUGAAGAUUAUGUUUCUGCAUGGAGACCUUGCUUCCGGCAAAGGCAUCUACUGCCCUCCGGCAUUUCAGUGAAAGAAGUUGCCAUCACUUUUGUCUUCUGCUUUCAUAGUUGUUCAGUGAUAAAGGAGUCAGCUUUGCACCRCUUUUAUGUCUACCUUGAACCAAUAAACAUUAUUUUAAAAAUAAAUGUGAAGAUAUG